GCUGGGCGCAGUGGCACAUACCUGUAGUCCCAGCUACUCAGGAGGCUGAGGUGGGAGGAUUGCUUGAGCCCAGGAGUUCUGGGCUGUAGUGUGCUAUGCCAAUCAGGUGUCCACACUAAGUUCAGCAUCAAUAUGGUGACCUCCUGGGAGCAGGGGACCACCAGGUUGCCUAAGGAGGGGUGAACCGGCCCAGGUUGGAAACAGAGCAGGUCAAAACUCCCAUGCUGAUCAGUAGUGGGAUCUCGCCUGUGAAUAGCCACUGCGCUCCAGCCUGGGCAACAUAGCAAGACCCCAUCUCU
rnacentral:SRP_RNA from 1 species